GACAGAUAGCACAAAGAUGAAUAAAUGUCCUGCUGUUUCUAAGAUUGAAGUCCGAAGAGAUGACGCACACGGUUUUGUUUCGACGCCCCGUUCUCUUCUUCUUCCUCUCGUGAUUUACUUUCUUUUUUAAGCCCCUCUCUUUGGCUUCCCAUUGGAAGAGACCUCACUGAAGUUGGCCCCCACCCAACGCAAAACGUCAGCAAAAUAGAUUUGUGCUGUAAAAAUCUUCGUUUGAGCACUCCCGCAGUGAACACUUUCAUCGGAAGAGCACUGUCCCGCAGUGAACACUUUCAUUGGGUAAAGCAGAGAAGAAAAAACUGAAAAUGAAGAAAAGGAAAAAGAAAAAUAAUGUUGAUACAAAUAAUCUUGCUAUUUUCCCGGGUGAUGGUUUUUACAGUUUAAAUCUAAACAAUCCACUUCCGACAGGGAAAGAAAAAUGCUUGCAGAAGCUAUAAUUAAUUCAAUAUGAAUAAUUUAUACUAGUUAUAUUAUUUAAAUCUGUCUGCUUUAUUUAAUCUGCUCUCUGCUUUUGUUUUGUUUGUUUUUUGGCUUGUAUUUAAUGUUACACGCAUUUUUGUUCCUUUGUAAUUCAGCACAAAAACGACAACAACAACAAUAAUAUUAAAAGAAUCAAUAAAUAAAAAAGUGCAUUGCAUUGAUUUUCAGUCCAUCGCUGCUCCAGGCUCCACCCACUCCCGCUUGAAAACCAAUCAGAUGUUUAAACAUCUUUCAGCGUCAUCAUCAUUAUCCCGCCCCCUCGUGUACGGCGCUCAGUUUCACUUCCUGCGGUCUCGUGGAUUGUCGAAGCUGUCAAUCAUCAGAACACAAAACUGUGUUUGGUGUUGA
ensembl:lncRNA